rnacentral:lncRNA from 1 species
GCCCUUUCAGCUAAUGUUCCAGGCAGUUCUAGAUUGGACCAGUGCUACAAAUACUAAGAAUAAUUUGCUGGUUGUAACAUGUGAAAAGUUAUUUUUAAUGGAACUAUUCACACCAGCCAAUCCCUAACAUGCCUACAUUUUUCUUUACCCAGAUGCCAUCCCAGAUACCCUUUACUUUUUACCCUCCACCAUCCUGAGCUCUGGUGCCUAAAUCACAAACCGAGCUCAGGUAUGUUCUCCAUAUGAGACAAGAUUUGAUAAAUCCAGAUGGAAAAUAUAAAGUGGAAUUCUUCUGGUUUGGGAGCAGAUGUUGAACUACAGUCACACGUGCAGUAGAAAAUGUUUUAUGCCUGUCUCACCCUUAUCUUCAAAGUAUAUCCUUCCCCUUGGGGUGCCAAGAGCAGCGCUCUGUGACCCUUUACUUCUUGACUAAACUGACUUAGCCAGAGGCCAGCAUCCUAGCCAAAAUUGACUACCAAUAAUGGGGCCUGGGUAAGACAUCCUUAAUCUUUUUUAUUUUUUUUUAAUCUGGAAAGAUUACUGUUUUGGUCAUCCAUAUACAGCCUCUGUAUCUGGAGUAGAAAUUGGAAGUCCGAAUUCUGAAUGAUGAGGUAUUAUUGUUUGUUUUCUCCCUUUAGACCUGACCCUAUGGUUCUUGGGUUUCCUAAAUUUUCUAAGCUUUUUCCUGCAUCUUUAGAAAAUAAGAAAAAAAAGUUUCUUUUUAAUCUGAAGGAAUCCAUGCCUCCCUUGUAACCUGAUAAAGCCUCACAA